UAAAACAACUGACUCAGAACUGAAGCGGACAAGGGGAAUCCGACUGUUUAAUAAAAACAUAGCUUUGUGAUGGCCUGAAAAGGUGUUGACACAAAGUGAUUUCUGCCCAGUGCUUUGAACGUGAAUAUGAAGUAAUUUGUAGAAGCUCAGGUAAACGGCGGGAGUAACUAUGACUCUCUUAAGGUAGCCAAAUGCCUCGUCAUCUAAUUAGUGACGCGCAUGAAUGGAUCAAUGAGAUUCCCACUGUCCCUAUUUACUAUUUAGCGAACCCACAGUCAAGGGAACGGGCUUGAAAUAAUCAGCGGGGAAAGAAGACCCUGUUGAGCUUGACUCUAGUCCGACUUUGUGAAAUGACUAACGAAGUUUAGCCUUAGGUGGGAGCCAAACGCGCCAAUGAAAAACCACUAUUUGUUACGUCAUUUUACUUACUCCGUAAAGAAGUGAUCGGUUUACCGAUUCUAGAACUAAGGGUAGUUUACUGCCUGAGCUUUGCGGAAGACACGGUCAGGUGGGG
rnacentral:rRNA from 1 species